GGUGGUUUCUCUUCCCACAGAAGCUCCUUGAAGAGGCAAGCCAGUAACAGUAGCGCGUGGGCUCGAAGCUCCAUGGUGCUCUAAAUCGAAGUCGCCGGAUAGAAGAACCAAAGCCUUGGAGCCUUGAGAUCAGUUAGAAAGCUCUUCAUGAGGAAGCCGUCUAUGUCGGGGGGAUCAAGGAAGACGCUGGACCGUCGCCGGCUGAACAAAUUGAGGAGGAAGAAGGCUGGGCUGGCCGACAUUGCCACAGGGUUCUGCAUGAAUGGUCUGGCUGAAGCUUGCGGCCAGUGGCGAGAUGAUGUGAAGAAGGAACUAGGCGGAGAAGGAUUCGGUUCUAUGUUUGACAUCAAGCGGCCCCACAGGUUCAGUAGGAAGUUGGCGUUACAUCUAAUGUUGAAGAUGGAUCAUGCCAGUAUGGAGAUAGACUUCGGUGAUGGCCGAAAAUUGAAGCUGACGAAAGAGUACAUGGCGCAUGCGACUGGGCUCCCGGAUAAGGGCGCGAGGGUCGUUGCUCCGAAUCCUGAAAGACGCAGGUUGCUUCUGAAGAAGGUACAUAGGGUGUUGAAGACGGGGACCAAGGAGACGCAACUACCCUCCAUUGAAACGCUAAUCAAAAAUCUUGAAAGAAGCAAAUGAAUUGGAGCUAAAUCCGUCGAACAAGGCGCGACUGAUGACGGUAUCCGGGUCUUCAGUGGCGCCGGAGGUGCUGGUUGAGAACCCAGUCAGCAGUUGUGCUCGGCAGCACUUGUACGCUAGACGGGUGCCUGCUGAAGCUGCAGGUAGAAACGUGUAACGAGCUUUUGGUUUUUUUAUAAUGAUGAAUUGCAAAUAAUAGAGAGAAAUUAAAUUUAAUCUCCUUUCGUA